GGUGAAGAACGUAGCGAAAUGCGAUAAGUAAUGUGAAUUGCAGAAUUCCGUGAAUCAUCGAAUCUUUGAACGCACAUUGCGCCCCCUGGUAUUCCGGGGGGCAUGCCUGUCCGAGCGUCAUUGCAACCUUCAUGCGCGGCUUGUGUGUUGGGUCUCGUCCCCCGUGGACGGGCCCGAAAGGCAGUGGCGGCGUCCCGACAUGGUGCCCGAGCGUAUGGGAAUCCUCUUCCGCUCGAAUCGGCCCAUGCGGCGCUGGUCGUAACCAAAUUUUUUACCGGUUGACCUCGGAUCAGGUAGGGAUACCCGCUGAACUUAAGCAUAUCAAUAAGCGGAGGA
rnacentral:misc_RNA from 1 species